rnacentral:rRNA from 1 species
UACGUAGGUGGCGAGCGUUGUCCGGAUUUACUGGGCGUAAAGGGAGCGUAGGCGGAUUUUUAAGUGAGAUGUGAAAUACUCGGGCUCAACUUGAGUGCUGCAUUUCAAACUGGAAGUCUAGAGUGCAGGAGAGGAGAAUGGAAUUCCUAGUGCAGCGGUGAAAUGCGUAGAGAUUAGGAAGAACACCAGUGGCGAAGGCGAUUCUCUGGACUGUAACUGACGCUGAGGCUCGAAAGCGUGGGGAGCAAACAGG